GUCGAGAGGCUUCGGCAAUGGGGGAAACCCUGACCGAGCGACGCCGCGUGGGCGAUGAAGGCCGUUAGGUUGUAAAGCCCUGUCGAGCGGGAAGAAGUGCAAGAGGGCGAACAGUCCUCUUGUUUGACGGUACCGCUAAAGGAAGCUCCGGCCAACUCCGUGCCAGCAGCCGCGGUAAUACGGGGGGAGCGAACGUUGUUCGGAAUCACUGGGCGUAAAGGGCGUGCAGGCGGCCCGGUAAGAGGGAUGUGAAAUGCCCUGGCUCAACCAGGGAAAUGCAUCUUUGACUGCCGGGCUUGAGCAUGGGAGAGGAUGCGGGAAUUCCCGGUGUAGCGGUGAAAUGCAUUGAUAUCGGGAGGAACACCAGUGGCGAAGGCGCGCAUCUGGCCCAUUGCUGACGCUCAGGCGCGAAAGCUAGGGGAGCAAACAGGAUUAGAAACCCUAGUAGUCC
rnacentral:rRNA from 1 species